ensembl:lncRNA
UACAAAUACAAAUACUAUAUACAACUGAGUAAAAAUACAACGAUGACAGAAAGGAUUAUUGCACUUAGUAUUAUUGCAUAUGUAUGGAUGUGUGUGCUUGAUCAGUUAAAGUCUUUAUUAUGGAGUCUGACAGCAGUGGGGAGGAAAGACCUGCGAAAUCUCUCCGUCCCACACGUCUGUGUGUCUGAUCAUCUCCUUCAGGGUUUAAAUUAAUUCAGUACUUUGUGUACUAGCAAAGACAAAUAAAAAAAAUGUAGUUGGCAUGCAGUAUUUCCAUACAUGGUGCUUAGCCACAUAGAGAUACUGGAUUAUAGCUCCCAACUCGCUCCCAACUCAUCAUCACAGUCUUGACCUUGCAGGAUAGUGCUGGAGAAUAGACUUUUGCCAGAUGAGGAAGCAAAUGUGGAAGUAAAUACUUAAAAAAAAAAUUGGUUAGUGUUUGGUUGGUCCAGCUACCAAAAAGAUCGUUAAAAACGAAUGAUCAAUAAUCUACAAGUGCAUUAUUUAAAAAAGCAAAAAAAAAAAAAAAAAAAAAAAAGCAAAAAAGAAAGCUGAUCCUUUGCCUACAUAUUUUUGUAUUCCAAAGGAAAUCUUUUUAGGAAGAGUACAGGAAAUAAAAGGGAUAAUUAAUUUAAGUGUUUAGCAAUAUCUGCUCGUGUAGCUAACCAUUUUCACAUUCACACGUUUGUGCCAGGGGGAAAAAAGUGCGCUUUGACACUCAGUUUGUUUUCACACUGUUUUGAAAAGCUUUCAUGGCAUGGUUGUUAAACAGGAACCAUUUGACUAAAGCAGAACAUUUUAUUAUCCGCUUCGGUGAUAUCAUUGUUUUGAACUGAAACUACACUUAAGCAAGAAUUUUUCUUCCUUGCUAACCUCAGUCUGCCCCUCCCUCCCUGAGUCUUUCUCUCCUUCCCCUCACUGUGCUCCUCUACCUCUUAUAAAAAUGAAAGAUAAAGACUAAAUGAUGGCAGCUGUGGCACCGCAUCCAUUACAGAACCACCCUUGCCCUCCUCCCCCUUUCCUCCUUCCUUACUUUUUAAUAGUCCCAUUUUGAUGAUAAAGAUUUGGAGAUUUCCACACAAACCUCCUGACCUCUGCCUCAUUUUUUUCUCUUCUUUUUUUUUUGCGUGCAUCUUUCUUUUUUUUGUGAAAACACUGUCUUAAGCAUGUAUUUCAUGAUUCCUGAGCAAAUCCCUGGAAACUAUCCUAUCCUACACCCCCUGCUUAUGCCAAAUCUGCAUAACACAAACCCCUUUGAGUUCUAAGCCAUGUUUGUGUGUAUAUUUGUGCAUAUGUGUGUGUGUAUUUGGUGCAUUUUUUGUGUGGGAGGAAAUAUGUAUAUAUAAGGAUGUACCAUACAUGCUUGUAGAUUUGAAUUGCUGCAUUGGCAUUCAGUGCUGGAGUAAUUUGGCAAGUGAGUAAUGCUAAAUCAGGUCAAAUGAGCCUUAUGAAACUAAAAUAAAGUUUUCCUAACGCUC